GAUGAACGCUGGCGGCGUGCCUAAUACAUGCAAGUCGAGCGAACAGAUAAGGAGCUUGCUCCUUUGACGUUAGCGGCGGACGGGUGAGUAACACGUGGGUAACCUACCUAUAAGACUGGAAUAACUCCGGGAAACCGGGGCUAAUGCCGGAUAACAUUUAGAACCGCAUGGUUCUAAAGUGAAAGAUGGUUUUGCUAUCACUUAUAGAUGGACCCGCGCCGUAUUAGCUAGUUGGUAAGGUAACGGCUUACCAAGGCAACGAUACGUAGCCGACCUGAGAGGGUGAUCGGCCACACUGGAACUGAGACACGGUCCAGACUCCUACGGGAGGCAGCAGUAGGGAAUCUUCCGCAAUGGGCGAAAGCCUGACGGAGCAACGCCGCGUGAGUGAUGAAGGUCUUCGGAUCGUAAAACUCUGUUAUUAGGGAAGAACAAAUGUGUAAGUAACUGUGCACGUCUUGACGGUACCUAAUCAGAAAGCCACGGCUAACUACGUA
rnacentral:rRNA from 1 species